rnacentral:lncRNA from 1 species
CCCAGCGCCAGUCCUGCAGCCAUUGCUAAUGUUUGGGCUGCAGAAACCUGGGGUUGCCCGCGGGAGAAGGGGCGGUGGUCCCAGGCUGCAGGCAGGGGGCGCCAGAGGAUGCCCAGGGGCCCGGCAGGCAGCUGGCAAGGCGGGCAAGCGGGCGGCAUCUCUCGGCCCGGGCGCCCCUCCCCCGCGGGCAACAAACCCGCCGCAUGCUCUGCAUUGGCCGUGGCCGCAGAGGACCACCCGUGGCUGUGCCCUCGGACCGAGCCGACUGCGGGAGUGGCCACCAACUUCACAGCCUACCACCCCCGAAAUCAUGCCUGCCCCUGGGGCUGCAGGAGGGUGAGCCUGGUGCCCGGCUCCAUGCCCAGUGGUGGGAGGAGAGGCUGAGUGAUCUGGCCAGAGAUGAACACGGGAGUCAGGGAUGCGGGUCUAGCGGAGAUCCUGGCCAGAGGGAGGGGGCUUGGGGAAGACAAGGGGGACACGGCCCAUAUUCCAGGCUGGGGGGAGGGGACUUGCAGCAGAGAUUGGCGAGGGAAGGCUGUACUCUGGGGCAGAUAUGGGGGGAGGGGGCGCUUGGGGCAGAAAUAGAGGGGGCACAUGGUCGGGGUACAGGCGCUGAGGAGGGCAGAAACAGACGGAUAGAGAUAGGAGACUCCGGCAGAGACGAAGUGCCGGAGAGGACCAAGGGUCCGGCACCCAGACAAGGAGGCGAGACACAGUUGAGCUGCAGGUUGGCGAGAGGGGCUCUCUAUUCAAGGGGAGGGGGCACUGCUGGAUCCGGACUGAGACUGGGAAAGACUGGAGACAGCGACUGGGGACGGUCUAGGACAGGAUUCUAAAGAUGGGGGACUUUAACACAGACGGCGCCGGCGCGGGAGAAGCCCCGGAUUAGAAGACUUUCGAGAAGGGUGGACACUGAGGCCUCCCAGAACAGCUCAGCAGGAGGCCCAGCACCAAGAUCUGCUCCAAAAACAUGGAAGGAAGGAAGGAAGGAAGGAAAAGAGAAGACAGUACCAGCAUUGAUGAAAAUUGAAAUCUGGGCCACUCUGACUCUGUUGAUGGAAGGGAAAAUUAGAACAACUUUUCUGGAAAACCACUGAGCGGUGGUGUCAAGAGCUUUAAAACAGACAGACCCUCUGGUCCCAUUCAUCUACUUUUAGGAACUCAAUCCAAGAAAUAACCAAAGACGCCAAAAAAGACCCAUGUACAAGGAUGCUUAUUACUGUUAUUUAUAACUGUGAAAAAUCCCAACCAACAUAAAUGUCUAGCAAUGGAGGGCUGGUUAAAUAAAUUAUGAUACAUCCAUAUAUAAGAAUGUUAUGUAAACAUUAAAUGUCAUGUUCUUGAAGAAUUUUUAAUAACCUGGGAAAUACCAUUUUAUAAGUAAAGCACAACAGAAAACAAAACCGUCCAUCUAGGAUGGUCUUGAUUGUAUAAAGAAAACAUUUAAUCAAUUCAUGUAAAGAAAGUCUGGAAGGAAAUAAAUGAGAGUUAAUCUGAGAAGAUUAUGGGUGAUUUUUUUGUUUGUUUCAGCAUACUUCUUUAUUUCUUACAAAUCUACAAUUUUUCAGGAAAAUUUAUUAGAAAUACAUGCAACCUGGGAGCUGGGCAUGGGAGAAUCAAAGUUUGAGACCAGCCUGGGCAACUUAGUGAGACCCUGUCUCAAAAUAAAAAAUAAAAAGGGAUGGAGAU